rnacentral:tRNA from 1 species
GCUGUUUUGGCAGAUUAUAUGCGCUAGAUUUAGGAUCUAGGAAAAUAGAGUUUAUGUCUAUAAAUAGUAAAAUGAUUAGAAUAGCUAAUUGUUUU